AUCAGUGCUGAUUCUGUGAGGACCAAUGGUGAGGCUGGUGAAGUGAUGAAACGUUAUGAUGUUUCGGAUUGGGCUUUACAAUGUAACAUAUCUCUUCUGCUACAUAUUUGAAAUGCUUAGGAGGUCCAUUCGGAGAAGCUUUCCCCUGUAUCGAUGGGAUAAAAAAAGAAGGCAUGUGUCUCAAUAGAAGAUCUAAACAAAUUCAUUUCCAAUUCUGAUGUGCAGACAGGACACCAUUUUCACAUGAAAAAAGAACACUAGAGAGGACACUGGAGGAAGCGUAGAACCCCUAAAAGUAUAGAAACGUCACUGGAGGAAGAGCUGCAGAGCAAUGUCUCUGUGGCAAGUUCUUCACCCAAAGCAGGAUGAGUAUUCAAGGAGCAUAACUAUUUGGGGCCCUCUGGCCUUGCUGAAAAUGACAAAGCUGCUAUUAGCCUCAAGGCUACGGAGCUGACACUUGGCCUUCCUGUAUCAAGAUCUCCAGUUUAUACUGAGAAAAUCUGGAUGUUUCCUGAAGCAGUAGCUGACAAAAUAAAAUAGGAUCUUUUAUUUUUUUAUUUCUUUCAUCAGUUGAAGGGUAAAUUUUGGAUUUUUAUGUUUUUCUUUAGGGCACAGAUUGUUGGUUGGCAUCAAGUGAGAUCUUUCAGGAAGAACACAAUGGCAACCACUUGUAAGAACAGUGAUGAAUUUGAUGGGUAGCCAGGUUCUGCGGCCCUCAUUGUUAAAGUCAGCAUGGAUGGUGCUCCUUAUCCAAGGAAAGUUGACCAGAGGAGCUACAAUAACUACAUGGAGCUUUCUUCAGCCUUGGAGAAAAUGUUCACCACUUUUACUCUUGGUGAUAUGUUUCUGUGAUUGCGAUAAUGAUGUGUUGUUAGAGUUCUCAUGGUAGAUCGAUGAGUGCAAUGGAUUCUUUGGUGUUUAGGUCAAUGUGGAUCUAACGGAGCUACAAUGAAGGAUAAGCUCUGUGAGACCAAACUCAAGGAUAUUCUGAAUGGAAAAGACUAUGUACUCACUUAUGAAGACAAGGAUGGAGAUUGGAUGCGUGCUGGAGAUGUUCCAUUGGAGAUGUUUAUUGAUGUCUGCAAGAAGCUGAAUAUAAUGAAAGGCUGUAAUGCCAUUGGAUUAGCUAGAACUGGGAUAAAGAUGGGCUGGUAGCUGUUUGAUGAUGAUCACUUGCUUCCUUUUGUGCAGCUCCGAGAGCAAUGGAGAAAUCGAAGAUGAGAGCUUAAAGACACGACAGAAAAUGAUUCAUAAUCUUUCUAAUUAAUACAGAAUAUGUGCGAUUGAGAUUAUCCCGUUUGGUGGUGUUUUUAAAUUUCAAAACAUCUUUAGCUUUCUGAGAUUUUUUUUGUUUUAAAUAAAACUAUGUAUGUAAGAAUUGACUACACUUUCGCGGAACCACUAAACUGGUCGAUGUUUCCACUUUCCACAAAUUAGUAUGCUCUCUCUA